CGGAAAACUCCCCCGAAACGGAAUGCGAACACUGGAAAAAGAAAAAAAAAGAAGAGGAAUGAUACUGUGAUUAAUUACAUUAGUAUCGUUUGCUUCUCUCAUUAUUUAUACGUGAAACGCAUACUAUCGCUGACAGUACAGAGAAUGUUGAUUUCCCGACGGAGAUACCACCCAUCUGAGAAUCUAUAGCUAAGGGGGAAAAAAAAAAGAAGGAAAAAAGACAAAAAAAAAAAACAUCGACGAUUUGCAUUCGAAAGUUUAUAUAUUCGAAGUGUCGUAACGAACAAAAGCCAAAAAUAAAAACUUUAGUGAGAUAUUUUUAUGAAAUAAGGAUUCCUUUUACAAUAAUGGAGGAAAGAAGAAAAAUAAAGAAAGAAACAAACAAACAAACAUAGUAAAAACUACGGAUCGUGGGGAAAAAUGAGGUUCAAGUUUCUUAAACUCGUUUUUCCAAAUCGAACUGUCCCGUGCACACAUUUUUCAUUUACCGCCUGAUUGUACCGCUGGAGCCUUGGAGGUGUCACAAGCUUUCUACAUCUAUAUAUUAAUUAAAACUUUAUGAGCUCAGCGUGAAGAAACGAAAAAUUAAAUUAUUUAGAACUUUGAAUUUUUUCCAAAUGUUGUCAAUCAGAGAAAUAUUCACACGGUAAUUUUGGAAAUCGUGAAAUUCUUUUUCCCCUUCAAACAUAAGCAAAGUUAAGUUAUUCUUUUUUUUCCAACGUAAUGACGACAUUAUAGAUCUUGAUAUGUAAACAGAAUUAUUUUACAUCUGCUAACAGAUCCUAACAAAUAUUAUAGCUUUGUUAACAUACUAUAUUAUUUGAUAUAUUUUAUAUUUA